rnacentral:tRNA from 1 species
GAGAGGAUAGCUUAAGAAAAGCAUUUGAUUGUUAAUCAAAAGUUGCAAAUAUAUAUUUUGAGCCUCUCU